rnacentral:rRNA from 1 species
UACGGAGGGUGCAAACGUUGCUCGGAAUCAUUGGGCGUAAAGCGCGCGUAGGCGGCGAGGCAAGUUGGAUGUGAAAGCCCUGGGCUCAACCUAGGAUGUGCAUACAAAACUGCCUCGCUUGAAUCUCGGAGGGGGUCAGGGAAUUCCCGGUGUAGCAGUGAAAUGCGUAGAUAUCGGGAGGAAUACCGAUGGCGAAGGCAGGUCUCUGGGCUAUAACUGACGCUCAUGCACGAAAGCGUGGGGAGCAAACAGG